rnacentral:rRNA from 1 species
GGAGUUAGGAAAUGUAAGUGCGCUAAUAUCGUGCUUAUUUGACAAAGGCUCCAAAGGAAGCCACGGCUAACUCUGUGCCAGCAGCCGCGGUAAUACAGAGGUGGCGAGCGUUGUUCGGAAUUAUUGGGCGUAAAGAGCACGUAGGUGGGUUUGCAAGUCAGAUGUGAAAGCCUUCUGUUCAACGGAAGAAUUGCAUCUGAAUCUGCUAAUCUUGAGUAUAGGAGGGGAGAGUGGAACUUCUG